CCUUGUUGAACUGUUUAAACUUUGGCUGACUUGUGUGUUUUUUCAAAUCCUUAUUUCCUAAUACCUUUAAAGGCAAUGGAGUUUGCCAAUAUAUCUGUUUAAUUAUUUCAGCUACUUUUAUUUGGGAAGUUUUUUUUUUAAUCCUGUUUCCCCCUUCUUUUCCUCUUCUUUCCUUCUUUCCCUCUGUCCUCUCUCUUGCAGGACACAGGACACAGGCAUUGAGAAUUAGGCAGUUGUCCAAAUCUAUUUCAAAACAAAAUUUAAAUCAAAACUUCUUGCAACUACAGGGCAAGGGUCCCAUGUACUUUCUCCAGGCCAACAGGAAAACUUGCAGUGAUGUUGCAGACCCACCUCUUUCCUCUCCCAAUAAAUAAAUGCAUAAUGUAGUGCUAUAAAAAUGCUAUUUUGCAAGAGAAGUCGAGGUUACCUUGUCCCACAUAGGACCAGUUGAAAGAACUCUGGCUCCGAAAAAAGAUGGAAGGUGCUUUUGAGUCACUUUGCUGUACUGCUGGCUGUGAGAGAGAACAGCUUCUGCAGAUGAAAGGCCAACAAUGAUAGCACUGGAAUGUGACCUCGGACAUUUAUCAGAAUGACAUUGUCUGUCAGACGAUAUGGCAUUCUUAUUUUUCCGACCACUCUUGGCAUGGAAUCAGGUUUUCCUAGAACUGUGAUUUGUCUUCACUUUGUUCUGGAAAGGUUGGAUAACAGGUACUCCUCCACUUCAGAAUGGUAUUUUAUGACAUGCUGAUUAUGAAGCAUAAGAAGUUACUGCACGGUUCCCUUGAAGUCAAUAACUAUCCACACAACUAGAAAGGGUAUCUUUUUUUGACCCUCUCUACUUAGCAGCCAUCUUAGGAUCCAUAUCUGGUCAUAUUACAGUGUAACUUACUAGCAAACUGACCUUUUGUAAAGAGCAGUUCUGUCAUGGUUUAAAGAGGAGCUAUGUUGUUAACACAGGGAAAAAAAUACUGUGGACAAGGAAUGGAAUUAAAAUCAAACUUACCUAAUUUAUAGCUGCAUCCAAAGCUAACCAAAGCCAGUGGGAGUCUUUCCACUGGCUUCAUUAAACUUUGCAUAUUUGCCCAAAGAAGUGCUAGUAAUACAGCCCAGCCAGGCCCUGGGAGAUGCUCCAACCUCUUGUUCCCGGCUGACCUUCUUUUGCUGCCGUACAGAGCUGCUAGGGUGGUAAUAAUGCUACAUAUAGUACUGAGGGCAGGCUAAACUAAAACCUGAAAUGAAAAAAAUAUUGUAGGAAAACACUCACUGAAAAGGAAAAGCUAAAUGUAAACAGUAAAUGAUAGCAGUAUUAUGGGUUCCUUUGCCUUUAGGCAAGCGCCUACACAUUUAUAAAUAAUGACAUGCAGACAUUAGUUUAGUUUAAGAUGCUUAUUGAUGCUUUGUAGACUAAAGUUUUAAGCAAAACAGAAGGCAAGAGCGGGCAAGUUUCCAAAAUCUGGAUAUAUUCUGAAAUAAAAAAGUAUAUUUAAGCUUUCUCUCCAUGUGUGCACAGUGAAAUGUAUGUGUGGCUAAAAAUUCUACUACUGUACAUUAAAAAAAAAAUCCUACUCUAGCACUGCCUGGAAUAAAUGAUAGGAGAAGUGGCAGGGCUCAUGAAGGAAACCAGCCAUGCCAUUCAAUUAAAGAUGGAAGUCUGCUUGAAAUGUAGAACUUUUUAAUAAGGAAGUUUCAUGUGUAAAGCUUCACAGUAAACCAUAAACCAUUCUCUGAAACAGCCUGUUAGAUAGGGAUUGUACUUUAUUGAAAUGUAAUAUGAAUUAUCCAUGUAUAUUUAAACUUCUGUUUACUGCCUGACAACAGAUAUUUGUCUGUGUGGGUGAAAGUGAAAGGUGAGGGAGUGAUCUGUAGCUCACCAGGAAGUACUGCACUACUGUAAAUAAACCUUUUGAUUCCUG